rnacentral:rRNA from 1 species
UACGAAGGGGGCUAGCGUUGCUCGGAAUUACUGGGCGUAAAGGGCGCGUAGGCGGCCCUGUUAGUCAGGCGUGAAAUUCCUGGGCUCAACCUGGGGACUGCGCUUGAUACGGCAGAGCUUGAGGAUGGAAGAGGGUCGCGGAAUUCCCAGUGUAGAGGUGAAAUUCGUAGAUAUUGGGAAGAACCCCGGUGGCGAAGGCGGCGACCUGGUCCAUUACUGACGCUGAGGCGCGACAGCGUGGGGAGCAAACAGG